ACACUAGAUGUAGAGAUGCUACAGGUACAGGACACUAGAUGUAGAGAUGCUACAGGUACAGGACACUAGAUGUAGAGAUGCUACAGGUACAGGACACUAGAUGUAGAGAUGCUACAGGUACAGGACACUAGAUGUAGAGAUACUACAGGUACAGGUACAGGACACUAGAUGUAGAGAUGCUACAUGUACAGGACACUAGAUGUAGAGAUACUACAGGUACAGGACACUAGAUGUAGAGAUGCUACAGGUACAGGACACUAGAUGUAGAGAUGCUACAGGUACAGGACACUAGAUGUAGAGAUACUACAGGUACAGGACACUAGAUGUAGAGAUACUACAGGUACAGGACACUAGAUGUAGAGAUACUACAGGUACAGUACACUAGAUGUAUAGAUGCUACAGGUACAGGACACUAGAUGUAGAGAUGCUACAG